ACUUUUAUAGCUUAUUUAGAGUAUAACACUGAAGUUGUUAAGGAGAAUUAAUCUUUAAGUA
rnacentral:tRNA from 1 species